rnacentral:rRNA from 1 species
UCCAAACAUUGCUUUCCGCCAAAAGAUGAAAAGUAAUUCCUGCCCAGUGACUAAGUUCAACGGCCGCGGUAUCCUAACCGUGCAAAGGUAGCAUAAUCACUUGCCCAUUAAUUGUGGGCUAGAAUGAAAGGACUAACGAAAUAAAAACUGUCUCUAUAAACCACAUAAAAAUUAAUCUCUAACUGAAGAAUGCUAGAUAUCGUCGAAGGACAAGAAGACCCUAUAGAGCUUUAUUUUAACAAAAGCCAGAAAAUUUUUAAUAAAAUUCGGUUGGGGCGACCAGGGAAUAUAAAUCAUCCCAGAUAAGUAGAUAACUUAAUCUAAACUAUGACCCUUAAACAAGAUCAACAAAUCAAGCUACCUUAGGGAUAACAGGCUAAUCCCACUAAAGAGUCCUUAUUAAUAGUGGGGGUUGGCACCUCGAUGUUGGCUUAGGGAAUCUAUGUGGCGCAAAAGUCACAUAAAGAUGGUUUGUUCAACCAAUAAUACCCUACGUGAUCUGUUUCAAAACCCGGA